UGCCCAGCAACUCCUAUCCCUACCUCCACGCGGUACCGGCCGGAAAAUAUGAGCAACCUUAGGGAAGA
rnacentral:ribozyme from 1 species